UAAGGAUUAAGAGUAAAGGGAAGGGAUUUUUAUUAUUGGAGUAGGUUCAUAAAUCCAAACAUUUCUUCUCCAAAUACACAUGAAAUGAUACAUAAAACAUAAAAAAGAGAACAUAAAGGAAACAGACUGAGAAGGAAUAAUAAAUUUCCAUGAACUAGAAAAAAACACAUAGAUGUCAACCAUGAAUAAAGUACUGCUUUCCAUGUCUUGGGCUGUACCCAGGAAGCAGGCAGUAGUUCCUGGGAUUUAGCACCAUGAAGAGGAAGUAGCAGAACUGUCACUGGAUAGAGUCCAUGGAAGUCCUCCUAAAGAGAAGAUGGGGAGUUCAACUCAGUCUGGACAAGUUCUUGACCUUGGACACAGAAAAGAAUUUUGGAUAUGGCAGUAAGACGCAUGUUUAUUCUUGGAGAUGAUGUGGACAAGGCAUCCUGGCUGUAGUGAUGCACCUGGUUUUUGAGAAGGAAAGAAUGGCCUGUUCUCAGAGUUGAUGGUAGUAUGUCUGGAGCAGGAGAGCAAGUCUUAUGAACAUCAUCUGGAGCUAGCAAUCUCCCAGUGAGAUAGACUAUGAUUUCAGAUGCCAAGGAGAAUCUGCAAGCCUGAGAAAGAUGCUUUCUUCUAGACUGGAAAUAUGCAACAGGACAAGAAGAGAGUCUUCUGCUGUAGAAAUCCAAAACAACUAAAACUUAUAAGCGCCUCUCUGCCGUAAAUUGCAUGAGAAUGGUGCCUUAAUAGAACGAGUCUUUGAAAAGUGAAAAAGAGAAAUCUGAAGUCAUUUGUUGAACAAGAAAAUUAGGAUGAUCUUGGUUAGAGACAAGCUGCCUACACUAUAUGUGCUUUCCCUCCACCUCCAUACAAUGUAUUCCUAAAAAGGUACAUCUGGAAAGUAGAAAAUAAAUGGACCUGUGUGUACAAGGAGG
rnacentral:lncRNA from 1 species